UUGCAUAUGGCUACCCUUCCCCUACCUGUGGUGUUGGAAAAUGCUGUAUUGGGAGGAGGAUGCAUCAACCUUCUUUGAGCGAUACAUUUGUGUCUAUAAGCAUGAAGCAAUCAGUUACAAGGCAAAAACCAAGAUUGAGGCCUUCAAUCUACCCGAGGACAGAGAGAUGUGUGCAACCGGUGCAACUUCUUGCAUGCAUGCAUGGCUUUGAGAUCCUACCGGGGAACAGUGGGCUAACUGCCUUGUUCAGUGGCAGAACUACAGCUCGGGGAUACGAUCCAGCAACCGUUCGGUUACUGGCCCAACGCUCUAACCACUAGGCUGUUUCAGUGCAUGCAUUUUGGAUGAAAGACUUCCAUAGGGCCGCCAUCUUCAAAGUUCACUCAAAAAGGCAAUAGUUCUGAACUGGGUUUGAUUUAGUUUUUGAUGUUUUAAUUAUUAAAUCUUUUAAACUUUCAAUAGUUGAAAGCUAUUGCUCAUGUAUCACUUGGCUCAUGUAAAUUCAGUAGUUGCCCCUUUAAACAUCAUAAGAUCAACAUCCCCAUUGUGUUCACGUGUAAAUGUUGUAGCUACAUAAAAAUGUCAAACAAUA